rnacentral:rRNA from 1 species
AUACGGAGGAUCCGAGCGUUAUCCGGAUUUAUUGGGUUUAAAGGGUGCGCAGGCGGCCAUUUAAGUCAGCGGUUAAAUCGUGGGGCUCAACCCCAUUCUGCCGUUGAUACUGGGUGGUUUGAUUGCGGUCGAGGUUGGCGGAAUUCGUUGUGUAGCGGUGAAAUGCAUAGAUAUGACGAAGAACACCGAUUGCGUAGGCAGCUGACCAGACCGCAAAUGACGCUCAUGCACGAAAGUGCGGGGAUCGAACAGGAUUAGAUACCCUGGUAGUCCGCACAGUAAACGAUGAAUACUUGUUUUCGGCGAUAUAAUGUCGGAGGCAAAGCGAAAGCGAUAAGUAUUCCACCUGGGGAGUACGCCGGCAACGGUGAAACUCAAAUGAAUUGGCGGGG